UACAGAGGUGGCAAGCGUUGUUCGGAAUUACUGGGCGUAAAGCGCGUGUAGGCGGCUCUUCAAGUCAGGCGUGAAAGCCCCGGGCUCAACUCGGGAACUGCGCUUGAUACUGUCGAGCUAGAGUGUGGAAGGGGCGAUUGGAAUUCCGUGUGUAGCGGUGAAAUGCGUAGAUAUCUGGAGGAACACCGGUGGCGAAGGCGGCAUCCUGGACCAACACUGACGCUGAGUGAGCGAAAGCCAGGGGAGCAAACAGG
rnacentral:rRNA from 1 species